AUUGAACGCUGGCGGCAGGCCUAACACAUGCAAGUCGAACGGUAACAGGAAACAGCUUGCUGUUUCGCUGACGAGUGGCGGACGGGUGAGUCAUGUCUGGGAAACUGCCUGAUGGAGGGGGAUAACUACUGGAAACGGUAGCUAAUACCGCAUAACGUCGCAAGACCAAAGAGGGGGACCCACGGGCCGCUUGCCAUCGGAUGUGCCCAGAUGGGAUUAGCUUGUUGGUGGGGUAACGGCUCACCAAGGCGACGAGCCCUAGCUGGUCUGAGAGGAUGACCAGCCACACUGGAACUGAGACACGGUCCAGACUCCUACGGGAGGCAGCAGUGGGGAAUAUUGCACAAUGGGCGCAAGCCUGAUGCAGCCAUGCCGCGUGUAUGAAGAAGGCCUUCGGGUUGUAAAGUACUUUCAGCGGGGAGGAAGGGAGCAAAGUUAAUACCUUGGCUCAUUGACGUUACCCGCAGAAGAAGCACCGGCUAACUCCGUG
rnacentral:rRNA from 1 species